rnacentral:rRNA from 1 species
UACAGAGGGUGCAAGCGUUGUUCGGAAUUAUUGGGCGUAAAGGGCGCGUAGGCGGUGCCACAAGUCACCUGUGAAAUCUCCGGGCUCAACCUGGGAACUGCGUUUGAAACUACAAGGCUAGAGUGUAGCAGAGGGGGGGUAGAAUUCCACGUGUAGCAGUGAAAUGCGUAGAGAUGAUGGAGGAAUACCAAUGGCGAAGGCAGCCCCCUGGGUUAACACUGACG